rnacentral:rRNA from 1 species
UACGAGGGGGGCGAGCGUUGUUCGGAAUUAUUGGGCGUAAAGGGUGCGUAGGCGGUUUGGUAAGUCUCUUGUGAAAUCUAUGGGCUCAACUCAUAGUCUGCAAGGGAAACUGCCGGGCUUGAGUGUGGGAGAGGUGAGUGGAAUUUCCGGUGUAGCGGUGAAAUGCGUAGAUAUCGGAAGGAACACCUGUGGCGAAAGCGGCUCACUGGACCACAACUGACGCUGAGACGCGAAAGCGUGGGGAGCGAACAGG